AUUUCAGUUGAUCAUGUUCAUGGUCAGGUAAUGGGUAUUAUCUAUUUGAAGCAACGAAACCACAUCUUGUUAUAUUUGUAAUGGAUAGCAGUAUUGAUCAAGCCGCAUUUGACAAAGCUAAAGCAUUUAAGCGGAGUGUUGUUGUUGGAGCUUUUAUUGGUACAAAAAUGGAUGGUCAUGAAAAGGGUGGUGGAAAUUGCCAGACCCUGUAGUUACAAAUCUAUGCUAGUAUAUAAUGUCCAUUAAGACACGAAUCCAUUUUGACCAGUUUUCCAACCCGAAGUUAAAUAUUUUUCUUUUCUCAUUUUUACUGUGUAGCAAUUGGAGGACAGUUGGCCGAAGUCCAAGCUUGAAAGCAGAGUUUUUUCUACACGAGACCCCCCUGCAACUCGCAGCCC